rnacentral:lncRNA from 1 species
AUAUUCAAGAGAUUAUUGUGCCAUGAAAAUUCCACUGCUCUUAUUUCGGCUACCUUGACGAUUUGUUUCCAAAUUCAUGGAAGAUUGUGGAACUGAAGAAUAUGAUCUCUUCCCUUGAAAGUUGUUGCUGUCCAUAUUGGCAUAGUUUGAAUUUGCAUUUGAAAUAGGUGGGUAAGGAUCAUCAUCAAUAAGUGCUUCCUG